UAGGGAAUCUUCCGCAAUGGACGCAAGUCUGACGGAGCAACGCCGCGUGAGUGAAGAAGGAUUUCGGUUCGUAAAACUCUGUUGUUAGAGAAGAACAGCGCAUAGAGUAACUGUUAUGCGUGUGACGGUAUCUAACCAGAAAGCCACGGCUAACUACGUGCCAGCAGCCGCGGUAAUACGUAGGUGGCAAGCGUUGUCCGGAUUUAUUGGGCGUAAAGCGAGCGCAGGCGGUCAAUUAAGUCUGAGGUGAAAGCCCCCGGCUCAACCGGGGAGGGUCAUUGGAAACUGGUUGACUUGAGUGCAGAUGAGGAGAGUGGAAUUCCAUGUGUAGCGGUGAAAUGCGUAGAUAUAUGGAGGAACACCAGUGGCUAAGGCGACUCUCUGGUCUGUAACUGACGCUGAGGCUCGAAAGCGUGGGUAGCAAACAGG
rnacentral:rRNA from 1 species